rnacentral:rRNA from 1 species
CCUACGGGUGGCUGCAGUGGGGAAUAUUGGACAAUGGGGGCAACCCUGAUCCAGCCAUGCCGCGUGUGUGAAGAAGGCCCUCGGGUUGUAAAGCACUUUCAGUGAGGAAGAACGCCUGGUGGUUAAUACCCAUCAGGAAAGACAUCACUCACAGAAGAAGCACCGGCUAACUCCGUGCCAGCAGCCGCGGUAAUACGGAGGGUGCGAGCGUUAAUCGGAAUUACUGGGCGUAAAGCGCGCGUAGGUGGCUUGAUAAGCCGGUUGUGAAAGCCCCGGACUCAACCUGGGAACGGCAUCCGGAACUGUCAAGCUAGAGUGCAGGAGAGGAAGGUAGAAUUCCCGGUGUAGCGGUGAAAUGCGUAGAGAUCGGGAGGAAUACCAGUGGCGAAGGCGGCCUUCUGGACUGACACUGACACUGAGGUGCGAAAGCGUGGGUAGCAAACAGGAUUAGAUACCCCAGUAGUC